GCCCACUUGGCUAAGUGGUUAAGGCGUGGCACUUGUAUUUAAUACGAUAUGCCAAGAUCGCUCGUUCGAUUCGGGUAGUGGGCA